rnacentral:rRNA from 1 species
AUGAGAAUUACAGUUUGGAACUGCCGGGGAUUGGGGAUCGGCCCGGCAAUAAGAGGACUUCUGGACCUCCAGAAGCAGGCAGACCCCAAUGUUCUCUUCUUGUCAGAAACAAGGAUGGAUGAGAGAGGAAUGGAACAAUUCAAAUGGAUGCUUGGCAUGGGAAAUAUGAUAGUUAAGGAAUGUGAUGGGAAGAGUGGUGGUUUGGCAAUAUUGUGGAAAAGGGAAAUAAACCUUGAGUUGCAUAAUUACUCAAGAUAUGACAUUGAUGUUGAAGUGAUAGAAAAUGAUGGUUUUAGAUGGAGGUUUAUAGGAAUAUAUGGCGAACCAGCCCGGGACAAAAGUGGAAGACAUGGAGAUUGUUGA